rnacentral:tRNA from 1 species
GGGCCCAUAGCUCAGUUGGUUAGAGCAGGCGACUCAUAAUCGCUUGGUCGGGGGUUCAAAUCCUGCUGGGCCCACCA